rnacentral:rRNA from 1 species
GACGAACGCUGGCGGCGUGCUUAACACAUGCAAGUCGAGCGGUAAGGCCCUUUCGGGGGUACACGAGCGGCGAACGGGUGAGUAACACGUGGGUGACCUGCCUUUAGCUCUGGGAUAAGCCUGGGAAACUGGGUCUAAUACCGGAUAUGACCCUAUGGCGCAUGUUGUGGGGUGGAAAGCCUUGUGCGGCUAGGGAUGGGCCCGCGGCCUAUCAGCUUGUUGGUGGGGUGAUGGCCUACCAAGGCGACGACGGGUAGCCGGCCUGAGAGGGCGACCGGCCACACUGGGACCUGAGACACGGCCCAGACUCCUACGGGAGGCAGCAGUGGGGAAUCUUGCGCAAU